GGAACCCACUCCCACCUCAAUGCCCUAGCAUUCUAAUACAAUGAGGUAUUGAGCCUUCAGAGGACCAAGGGACUCCCCUCCCAUGGAUGCUCUUAAUAACUGAGACAUCACCCCCCUCCAGGACAAAUGAGCAUGUGUGCCCAUGUGUUUAUGUGUGUGCACACAUUUUAUUUAAUUAAAGCUUUAAAAUAAAAAAAAUAGGGCUGUAAAUGUUUAUAGAGUAGAAGGCAUGAAAUAGCCAAAUACAGGUAAAGCAAAUAAAUCCUGAGAGACAAAGAGAGGAAGGGAUCAGGGUGAGAGAGGGGUACUGGAGGGAAAAUAGGGUCAGGAUAAGCAGAGUGAGGUUGUGGAGAGUGUGAGGGUGAGGUGGGGGUACUCUUUCAGAGCCAUAGGUUAGGGAGAAUUGGGUGAUGAACUCUUGAAGGGGGAACUGGAAGAGUGACAACAUUUGAAAUGCAAAUAAAUUAAACAAUUAAAAAAUAAAUAUGGCUUGGAAUCUUGUGUGUGUGUGUGUUAGUGUGUGUGUGUGUGUGUGUGUGUGUGUGUGUGUGUAUGUGUGUGUGUAUUAUGUAUGUAUUUGUUAGAUAGCUGUGUUUUCUGGAUUCUUUGAUCACUCUCCACUUUUAUUUUUUAACACAUUAAAGGAAAAAAAUAUAUUUUUGGGAAUUGUUGAGCCUGAAACUGGCCAACAGGCUUCAGGAAUAGGCUUGAUUUUCCUUCCUUAUCGAGAGUUGGAGUUAGAGGCAUAUGCACAUCUUUUUUUCACACUGACUUAGCUCACUCUCCA
rnacentral:lncRNA from 1 species